rnacentral:lncRNA from 1 species
GCCCAGUAGUUCAAAGAGAUGUUGUAAGUAUUUUGAACCUUUCCAUAAUAUCAUAGGUUAUUGUCACUAUGUGGAUUCAGCUUGACAUGACCACAGCCAUCUUGAAUGGUACCACCAUGAUAGCCCCAGAGUAAUCCUAGUUGGUUUUUCCUGCAUAAUUUUCUGGCAAAUUAUAAAUAGACAAACCAUUAGAGUGGUAGGUGCAGGUUUACAACCAGACACUGGAACCAGAAAUAUGCCCUUUCUCUUUGAUAUUAACUGAAGAGAAACCAGGUGCAUUCCAGCUUCAAUGAAAU